rnacentral:lncRNA from 1 species
GUUUUUAAUCCAAAAUUAUUAACUGGAAUUAAUGAAUCAACAUAAUAGUGGAUACAGAUGUGAGUACAUUGUUUGUAAGGUCAACAGUUGCAUAGGCCUGCAUGAUGCAAACACACAUAAAGCAAGCAGCCCUGUGAGUUCUAUUGUCUAUCAGUUGUUGUCUAUGUGUCUGGGUAGAAGAAAUUCCCCUCCUAAUCUAGUCUAAAUAUAAUUUAUAUCAACAAAUAUAAGGUAGCUGCAGUUUGAAAGGGUUUUCAUCCCCCCAGGGCCAGGAGUUUUUUUCAGGAGUUGAAACCUUAUUACAGCUGAUUAAUCACCGUCAUACCGUAUAGGGUCCAGAGUAGUUUGGUUAACAUAUAAGGAAAAACUCCAGGCCCCAGGGGUAAAAAUUGCCCCAACGCUCUGGGACCUAUGGGGCCACCAGUCUGCUUGCAGUUGUUAGUUAUCGUCAGGGCUUUAUUCAGGAUCGUUUCUUGAGCUACUUUGAUGUGUCAAGUGGGCGAGAUGCAGUCUGUGUUUGACUUCAUGAAUUUUGAUUUGUCUGAGUUCAAGUUCAUAGAGAAACUCAUUGUCCAAACCUACGAUGGCACAGCUGUAAUGGAAUGUAUCUGCUAUUUGUAUUUACAGCCAAGUCCCCUCCUGUUCCCUGAUUAUUAAGAGGGCCAUAACCAUGUGUAAUCCAGGGGUGGCAUCCAUAGAAUGGAUACCAGGCAGGCAGUCACCGUGUGUUCUGUCUGGACCUGACUGCCACUGGCGCCAGGGGCACCCUGGUGAAGCAGGAACAGCAGCCUGAGCUCCAUUCCUUGAUGUGCUGGGAACUAUGCAAGAGCCUUCUGUCUGCCCCUGACGCUGGAAGAGAAGGGGGAAUGGGGGGACCCCUUGUCAGACCUCUAUCAAAGGGAUACUAUCGCCUCCUACUGCCGCUUCUAGGCAGAGUUGGAAAGAAAAAGCCAUGUCUCAGACUGGCCAAUAAAAAGAAAAGAUUAAGAUGGGCAAAAGAACACAGACACUGGACAAAGGAACUCUGCCUAGAAGGCCAGGAUCCUGGAGUCGCCUCUUCACUGUUGACAUUGAGAGUGGUGUUUUGCGGGUAGUAUUUAAUGAAGCUUCCAGUUGAGGACUUGUGAGGCAUCUGUUUCUCAAACUAGACACUAUAAUGUACUUGUCCUCUUGCUCAGUUGUGCACCGGAGCCUCCCACUCCUCUCUCUAUUCUGGUUAGAGCCAGUUUACGCUGUUCUGUGAAGGGAGUAGUACACAGCGUUGUACGAGAUCUUCAGUUUAUUGGCAAUUUCUCAGAACAAGAAUAGACUGACGAGUUUCAGAAGAAAGGUCUUUGUUUCUGGCCAUUGUGAGCCUGUAAUCGAACCCACAAAUGCUGAUGGUCCAGAUACUCAACUAGUUUAAAGAAGGCCAGUUGUAUUGCUUCUUUAAUCAGGACAACAGUUUACAGCUGUGCCUACAUAAUUGCAAAAGGGUUUUCUAAUGAUCAAUUAGCCAUUUUAAAAUGAUAAACUUGGAUUAGCUAACACAACGUGCCAUUGAAACACAGGAGUGAUGGUUGCUGAUAAUGGGCCUCCGUAUGCCUAUGUAGAUAUUCCAUAAAUAAAUCUGCCGUUUCCAGCUACAAUAGUAAUUUACAACAUGUCUACACUGUAUUUCUGAUCAAUUUGAUGUAAUUUUAAUUGACAAAAAAUUUUGCUUUUCUUUCAAAAACACAUUUCUAAGUGACCCCAAACUUUUGAAUGGUAUUGUGCAUUGUAGGUUACAGCAAUGUACUGUACGCUAUGAUAAAGAUAGACAAAUGAAUACAUCAGUUAUUUCCAGC